UGGGAAUAUGUGCGUGGUUCUUCCUGGACGGAGCCAGUGUGCCAUAGGACUCUUAUAAAAGUGCACGUAUGGCCUUGUCGGGUGAAUUUAGUGGAGGACUCAUUCUCCUAGUUGGUUUUGAGGGGGCUCCAUGAUCUGGGCAGAACACUUGAGAGCUCUCUUGAAUCCCCCAAGCCCAUAAGGACCACUGCCCUGAUGAACUUUCAGGUGGCUGGCAGUUUGACAAUAACUGCUGAAGAAGGUACUGUCCUUGCUAAAGUCUAGAAGGAUCAGAGGAAUGUGAGAAGAAUGCUAUGUCAAG